rfam:Loxodonta africana unplaced genomic scaffold scaffold_36, whole genome shotgun sequence.
UUUUUAGGAUAAGUGUGUCCCAUGCCAUAUUGGGGAUAUACUUACCUUAAAA